CAACGUGGGCAACCUGCCCCAGAGACUGGGAUAACGUCCCGAAAGGGACGCUAAUACCGGAUAAUGCGUGACCUGCCAAGUGGGUCACGCCAAGUGGUAGCCUUGGCUUCUGCUCUGGGAUGGGCCCGCGCCGGAUUAGCUUGUUGGUGAGGUAACGGCUCACCAAGGCGACGAUCCGUAGCUGGUCUGAGAGGACGAUCAGCCACACUGGGACUGAGACACGGCCCAG
rnacentral:rRNA from 1 species